rnacentral:tRNA from 1 species
GGCCCUGUAGUUCAGUGGUUAGAGCGCCGGCUCGGCUCACACACCGAAGGGUCGCAGGUUCGAUUCCUGGUCAAGGGCA